CUUUCAGAUCAGCGGAAUUGUGAUACCCACUGAUCUCGUCAAGGAGGAAAAUGCACAAAUUAGGGCCUGGGAGGAAGCACUGAGAGCUCCUCGCUGCUGGGCAGAUUAAAAGGAGAGGAUUUAUUGAUGGUUUAGAAGAGGCUGCUUUGAAACCGAGGCAGGAUGGACACACGAGGGUGGCAGCAGCUGAAGUUUACCAGGGUUUGUUAGAAGCACCCAGCGUGGUUUUUGGGGCUCGUGGCCUGUGUUUCUGAAGCCAGAAUCAGAUUGAUGCCACGGCUGCAGUUCCUGGUGCUUUAUUUGUGUCCAUCCAUCGCUGCCAGGAUGAGCAUCCCCACUUCCAGUGCAGCGUGGAAAUGAAAAUCAAAUAUUUCACGCUGUGUUGAGUCAGUGCUGGUAAUCUCCUGUGUCUGGAGUCUCCUGGGACUCCACAAAGCUCUCCCAGGGAGCGAAAUGACUGCAGAGUCCCGCACAACCACGCGGAUUUAUUUCACUGUACCGGAGCUGGCUCAGCCCACACCCCCGAGCCACAGCUGCUCCCAGAAUUAAACAGGACAAACCCAGAGCAC